AUUCACAGUGUUCACUCAACCAGUACUGCUUCCCUUCUUAUCCAAUGCAAUGAUUGAUUCCAUUUAAGUCAAAGAAAAGCAAGAGGGACCAUAACAUACAUUGAUUUGCCUAGAAAUAUCCUACCAUACAGUUUUUUGUUUUACAUUUGUGAGCUUAUAUAAAAGUUAGAAAUGACCUAGGGAAAAUGUAUUAACCCUACUGUACAGAAGAGGAAACUAAAACUCAGAGAGGUUAAGCCUCACACCCAGUAGGUAGUGAAGCCAAAAUUAUACACCUGACUCCCAAACAUCUACUGCCAUUGUAAUACACUGCCUCCUGCAAGGCUAAAGUAGCCAGCCCAGCUAACCAUCAGGAGCCUAUUUGCUCUAACUCACAUUUACAGAAUGCACUUGGUAAAUAGGAGUUCAAUAACUGUUUGUUGAAGAAAGAAAAGAACUAUGGUGGGUCAGAUGAGAGACAAAAAUCACUCUGCAGAGAUACAGCAUGCAGGAGACCACCUCUGAGACUGAGGCAAGAGUGUGCCUGAAAUGCCAGGGGUUCGAUCUAGGUCC
rnacentral:lncRNA from 10 species